rnacentral:rRNA from 1 species
UACGUAGGGGGGCAAGCGUUGUCCGGAAUCAUUGGGCGUAAAGAGCGUGUAGGCGGCCUGGUAAGUCCGCUGUGAAAGUCCAGGGCUCAACCCUGGAAUGCCGGUGGAAACUGUCAGGCUCGAGUCCGGAAGAGGCGAGUGGAAUUCCUGGUGUAGCGGUGAAAUGCGCAGAUAUCAGGAGGAACACCAAUGGCGAAGGCAGCUCGCUGGGACGGUACUGACGCUGAGACGCGAAAGCGUGGGGAGCAAACAGG